CGGGUCUUUACUGAGUUUAGUCAUGAACUGUGAUUCGUAAGAGUACAAAAACAAGUCUGCUAUUAAAGGGGCACAAUUAGUGCCCAUGGGGAUACCUACAACCUGUCGAUAAACUUUGUUGCCGAAACGUACAUAAAUAUUAUCAAGGAGAAAAUUAACAGCUUCAAUCAUCUCAUCACACCUCCAGUUAGUAUAUCUAGCAUAUUUAUCUUUCUCAUUAGAGAAGAAGGCUUUAAAUGAGUUGCAGCAAAUAUAUCUACAUUCAGCUUUACCAAACGACCAUUUGAUU
rnacentral:lncRNA from 1 species